rnacentral:rRNA from 1 species
UACGGAGGGUGCGAGCGUUAUCCGGAAUUACUGGGUUUAAAGGGUGCGUAGGCGGUGAUAUAAGUCAGUGGUGAAAGGCCGUCGCUUAACGAUGGGAUUGCCAUUGAUACUGUAUGACUUGAAUCAGGAUGAGGUUGGCGGAAUGUGGCAUGUAGCGGUGAAAUGCAUAGAUAUGCCAUAGAACACCGAUUGCGAAGGCAGCUGACUGGGCCUUGAUUGACGCUGAGGCACGAAAGCGUGGGGAGCGAACAGG